UACGUAGGGUGCGAGCGUUAAUCGGAAUUACUGGGCGUAAAGCGUCCGUAGGCGGCUUUUUAAGUCAGUGGUGAAAGACGGUCGCUCAACGAUUGCAGUGCCAUUGAUACUGGUAGACUUGAGUGAGAUUGAGGUAGCUGGAAUGGAUAGUGUAGCGGUGAAAUGCAUAGAUAUUAUCCAGAACACCAAUUGCGUAGGCAAGUUACUAAGUCUCAACUGACGCUGAGGCACGAAAGUGUGGGUAUCAAACAGG
rnacentral:rRNA from 1 species